rnacentral:rRNA from 1 species
AUUGAACGCUGGCAGCGUGGAUGAGGCAUGCAAGUCGGACGAAGUAUUUUAGCAAUAAGAUACUUAGUGGCGAAAGGGUUAGUAAUACAUAGACAAUCUGCCUUUAACUUUGGAAUAACGGCUGGAAACGGCCGCUAAUACCGGAUGUGGUGAAGAGAGGCAUCUUUCUUUCAUUAAAGCGGGGGCUCGUAAGACCUCGCGGUUAAAGAAGAGUCUAUGGGAUAUCAGCUAGUUGGUGGGGUAAUGGCCUACCAAGGCUAAGACGUCUAGGCGGAUUGAGAGAUUGACCGCCAACACUGGGACUGAGAUACUGCCCAGACUCCUGCGGGAGGCUGCAGUCGAGAAUCUUUCGCAAUGGGCGAAAGCCUGACGAAGCGACGCUGCGUGAGCGAUGAAGGCCUUCGGGUUGUAAAGCUCUUUCGCCUGGGAACAAGAGAAUCCGGAUAACACCCGGAGGAUUUGAGGGUACUAGGUAAAGAAGCACCGGCUAACUCCGUGCCAGCAGCCGCGGUAA